UAGAAGGCCAAUGGCCCACAGCGUGCAGGGUGCAGUUUAUUAAGACAUAUUAGUCAUGUCAGUAAGUGUGAACUUUAUCCCAGUUGCCUGUGAGAAGAGACACUGGAAGCUUUCAGCCAUGGAAAUGACACGAUGCAGUUGGCAUUUUGUAAAUAUCACUCUGGUAACAGUUGGAAAAAGAAGCUUAACCCCCGACACGAAGUGACUAGUUAUUGAGCUGUUCCAGUAAUCCAAGUAAGAGAUGAUGGAGUGAUAAGAAAGAAGAAAACAGAAAGGAGGAAAAAACCUUGAGGGAGUGGAAUUGCUAAGUCCCAGUACUGUGGAUAAAGAUGAAGCCUCACAUACACUGUUUGUAAGAAAUUUUAAUCAGAAGAAAUGUGGGCUGUACAACAACUUGAACUCAUAAACAGGGACUUACACCACGCAUGAAGAAUCUAUACACCGAGUGACUCAGGAACCAGAGACAAGCGUGAGCGCAGACCUCUGAGAACUCAAAGAGAUCGUAAAGCAGGUUCGGAUUUCCCGUAUCUUUUAGAAUGGAAUGUAACUUAUUGAAAGGAAGAUUAGCCCAACUAAACACUCAGUAAUGCUAACUGAGAUUGUCCCUAACAAAUCUGCAAUAUGGAAGAAUAUGCUUGGAGUACAUUUGUAGAAAUAAGUAAAUGUUAUGAAUUAAAUGAAAAAUGGCCAGGCCUAUAAUCCCAGCACUAAGGAGGCAGAGGCAGACGGAUCUCUGUGAGUCCAAAGCUACACAGAGAAACCCCCGUCACGAAAAAACAAAACAGAACAAAAAACAAACAAACAAAAAAAUGAUAACAUUUGCAUCCGGAGAGCCUUGUCCAUUGC
rnacentral:lncRNA from 1 species